rnacentral:rRNA from 1 species
AUGCUGGCGCCGGCGCUCGCGCUGCCGUUCCCUGAUGCGAACGCGCCUCUACUUCAAACCCCGACGAGCACCGCAAGUGUCUCUAGGAGGAGGCUUUAUCUUCAGGAACCUGAAGAUGUCGGCAUUCAGGAUCUCCAGCUCUUCUUCGCCUUCGACAUUGGUUUCGCCGGAUUGGGGGCGAUGGCCGGCACGGAUCUGAGAUGGCAAGCCAUGACCGGAGUGGAAGCUCAAGUGCUUUCCUUUAAGCUAGAAAUGGAAGACAAUAGAUUCAGAGAAUUGCCUCCUUGCUGCAAUGCUUUUACUCAAGUUGGCAUGUCUGAACUACGUAAUGUAAAACCAAUGAACUGA